rnacentral:rRNA from 1 species
ACGGAGGGUGCAAGCGUUAAUCGGAAUUACUGGGCGUAAAGCGCACGUAGGCUGUAGUGUAAGUCAGGGGUGAAAUCCCACGGCUCAACCGUGGAACUGCCUUUGAUACUGCACAUCUUGAAUCCGGGAGAGGGUGGCGGAAUGCCAGGUGUAGGGGUGAAAUCCGUAGAUAUGUGGAGGAACACCGGUGGCGAAGGCAGCCUCCUGGAUUGGUAUUGACGCUGAUGUGCGAAAGCGUGGGGAGCAAACAG